rnacentral:rRNA from 1 species
UACGAAGGGGCUAGCGUUGUUCGGAAUUACUGGGCGUAAAGCGCACGUAGGCGGACUAUUAAGUCAGGGGUGAAAUCCCGGGGCUCAACCCCGGAACUGCCUUUGAUACUGGUAGUCUCGAGUCCGGAAGAGGUGAGUGGAAUUCCGAGUGUAGAGGUGAAAUUCGUAGAUAUUCGGAAGGAACACCAGUGGCGAAGGCGGCUCACUGGUCCGGUAC